rnacentral:rRNA from 1 species
AGAGCACCGGGUGCUAACGUCCGGACUCAAGAGGGAAACAACCCAGACCGCCAGCUAAGGUCCCUAAAAUUGGCUAAGUGGGAAACGAAGUGGGAAGGCUAAAACAGUCAGGAUGUUGGCUUAGAAGCAGCCAUCAUUUAAAGAAAGCGUAAUAGCUCACUGAUCGAGUCGUCCUGCGCGGAAGAUGUAACGGGGCUAAGCCAGUUACCGAAGCUGCGGAUUUGCAAUUUAUUGCAAGUGGUAGGAGAGCGUUCUGUAAGCCUGUGAAGGUGCGUUGUAAAGCGCGCUGGAGGUAUCAGAAGUGCGAAUGCUGACAUGAGUAGCGUUAAAGCGGGUGAAAAGCCCGCUCGCCGUAAGCGCAAGGUUUUCUACGCAACGUUCAUCGGCGUAGAGUGAGUCGGCCCCUAAGGCGAGGCAGAGAUGCGUAGUUGAUGGGAAACAGGUCAAUAUUCCUGUACCGAUGUGUAGUGCGAUGUGGGG